rnacentral:rRNA from 1 species
CCCUUAGAUGUUCUGGGCCGCACGCGCGCUACACUGAUUCAUGCAACGAGUUUUGUUCUUGGCUGAAAGGCCUGGGUAAUCUUUGAACGUGAAUCGUGCUGGGGAUAGAUGAUUGCAAUUAUUCAUCUUCAACGAGGAAUUCCUAGUAAACGCAAGUCAUCAGCUUGCAUUGAUUACGUCCCUGCCCUUUGUACACACCGCCCGUCGCACCUACCGAUUGAAUGGUCCGGUGAAAUCUUCGGAUCUGAGAGAUGUUGGAUUAAUUUCUGACGCCUUUUGGAAAAGUCGCUUAAACCUUAUCAUUUAGAGGAAGGUGAAGUCGUAACA